rnacentral:rRNA from 1 species
CCGGUGGCUAACCGCAAGGGAGCAGGCCGUCAAAGGUCAAUCCAAUGACUGGGGCG